UACGUAGGGUGCAAGCGUUGUCCGGAAUUAUUGGGCGUAAAGGGCUCGUAGGCGGUCCAUCGCGUCGGGAGUGAAAAGCUGGGGCUCAACCCCAGUCCUGCUUUCGAUACGGGUGGACUAGAGGUAUUCAGGGGAGAACGGAAUUCCUGGUGUAGCGGUGAAAUGCGCAGAUAUCAGGAGGAACACCGGUGGCGAAGGCGGUUCUCUGGGCAUUACCUGACGCUGAGGAGCGAAAGCGUGGGGAGCAAUCAGG
rnacentral:rRNA from 1 species